rnacentral:rRNA from 1 species
GACGAACGCUGGCGGUAUGCUUAACACAUGCAAGUCGAACGAGACGAGAUGGAAGUGCUUGCACUGAAAUCUUAGAAAGUGGCGAACGGGUGAGUAACGCGUGGGUAACCUACCCUUUGGAAAGGAAUAGCCUCGGGAAACUGGGAGUAAUGCCUUAUAAUAUACAGAGAUCGCAUGGUCUUUGUAUUAAACGCUCCGGUGCCAAAGGAUGGACCCG